CAGAGCGAAAUUGGUGCAACUUUCGGUGAUCUUCGUCCUAUUGAGCUCGAAUGUCCCUAGGGGCCAACAUCUAAUUGAUUUUAAUUAAAGUGAUAGCUAUGUGAGAAUUGAUUCACCUAAUUUGGGCAAGAAUCUGGUAAUGAAAUCCAGUUCUUAUCUUGUUGGGGUGAUUGCCCUUACUAUGUGCGGAUUAAUUGGUGUAUGUGUAUCAAGCAUGCAUUCACACUUUUUGCUGAAUUUAAAAUCAAACAAUCACCACAAAAGGGAAUUAAUUUAAAUAAGAAAGGUUUAGAGGUUACCAAAGGGAAUUUUCCCAGCAAUUUUUUUAAUUUUUUAAUUUUUUAGGCAAACCUCUACAGCAUUCCUUUUCCAGCAGUUUCCUUUUUGAUCGUCCCAGAGUUCCUCUUCGAUUCCUA
rnacentral:lncRNA from 1 species